rnacentral:lncRNA from 1 species
ACUUGGGGACCUUACCAUACUUCAACCUCUUCUGGUUGCAAAUACUUUCUUACCAUUGUUGAUGAUUAUUCAAGGGCAACCUGGACACACUUGUUAAGCUCCAAAAGUAAUGCCUUUUCUAUGCUUAAGUCCUUUAUUGCCAUGGUCAGAACUCAAUUUAAUUCCGUAGUUCAGACUGUUAGAAGUGAUAAUGCUCUAGAGCUGGGCUCUAGCAAUGAGGGGAUCUCUUUCUUUAGCAGUCAGGGCAUCAUUCAUCAAACUUCUUGUCCUCACACACCUCAACAAAAUGGUAUAGUUGAGAGAAAACAUAGGACCCUUCUUGAGGCAUGUAGAGCUUUUCUCUUUCAAUCUGGCUGCCAGUAUCAUUUUGGGGGGAUUGCUUAUUGACUGCUACUUACCUCCUUAACAGGGUCCCAACCAGAUUGUUAAAUAACAAGUCUCCUCAUGAGAUUCUGUAUGGCCACAUUCCUUCCUAUUGCUACUUACCUCCUUAAUAGGGUCCCAACCAAAUUGUUAAAUAACAAGUCUCCUCAUGAGAUUCUAUAUGGCCACAUUACUUCCUAUGCUCAUUUGAGGGUUUUUGGUUGCCUAGCUUAUGCCACUGUUCCCAUUCCUCAAAGGGACAAAUCGAAGCCUAGGGCUAUUCCUUGUGUUUUUCUGGGAUACCCUUUUGGUAAAAAGGGUUACAGGCUUUAUGAUUAUACUUCCAAGAAGUAUUUAGUCUCCAGGGAUGUCCAAUUUCAUGAAUCAGUUUUUCCUUUCAAA